rnacentral:rRNA from 1 species
UACGAAGGGGGCUAGCGUUGUUCGGAAUCACUGGGCGUAAAGCGCACGCAGGCGGAUCGAUAAGUCGGGGGUGAAAGCCCGGGGCUCGACCUCGGAAUUGCCUUCGAUACUGUCGGUCUCGAGUCCGGGAGAGGUGAGUGGAAUUCCUAGUGUAGAGGUGAAAUUCGUAGAUAUUAGGAAGAACACCAGUGGCGAAGGCGGCUCACUGGCCCGGUACUGACGCUCAGGCGCGAAAGCUAGGGGAGCAAACGGG